rnacentral:rRNA from 1 species
ACGCUGGCGGCAGGCCUAACACAUGCAAGUCGAGCGGUAGCACAAGAGAGCUUGCUCUCUGGGUGACGAGCGGCGGACGGGUGAGUAAUGUCUGGGAAACUGCCUGAUGGAGGGGGAUAACUACUGGAAACGGUAGCUAAUACCGCAUGACCUCGCAAGAGCAAAGUGGGGGACCUUCGGGCCUCACGCCAUCGGAUGUGCCCAGAUGGGAUUAGCUAGUAGGUGGGGUAAUGGCUCACCUAGGCGACGAUCCCUAGCUGGUCUGAGAGGAUGACCAGCCACACUGGAACUGAGACACGGUCCAGACUCCUACGGGAGGCAGCAGUGGGGAAUAUUGCACAAUGGGCGCAAGCCUGAUGCAGCCAUGCCGCGUGUGUGAAGAAGGCCUUAGGGUUGUAAAGCACUUUCAGCGAGGAGGAAGGCGUUGUAGUUAAUAGCUGUAGCGAUUGACGUUACUCGCAGAAGAAGCACCGGCUAACUCCGUGCCAGCAGCCGCGGUAAUACGGAGGGUGCAAGCGUUAAUCGGAAUUACUGGGCGUAAAGCGCACGCAGGCGGUUUGUUAAGUCAGAUGUGAAAUCCCCGAGCUUAACUUGGGAACUGCAUUUGAAACUGGCAAGCUAGAGUCUUGUAGAGGGGGGUAGAAUUCCAGGUGUAGCGGUGAAAUGCGUAGAGAUCUGGAGGAAUACCGGUGGCGAAGGCGGCCCCCUGGACAAAGACUGACGCUCAGGUGCGAAAGCGUGGGGAGCAAAC